AUUGAACGCUGGCGGCAUGCUUUACACAUGCAAGUCGAACGGUAACAGGGUGCUUGCACCGCUGACGAGUGGCGAACGGGUGAGUAAUGCAUCGGAACGUACCCAGUCGUGGGGGAUAACGUAGCGAAAGUUACGCUAAUACCGCAUACGUCCUGAGGGAGAAAGCGGGGGACCGUAAGGCCUCGCGCGAUUGGAGCGGCCGAUGUCGGAUUAGCUAGUUGGUAGGGUAAAGGCCUACCAAGGCGACGAUCCGUAGCGGGUCUGAGAGGAUGAUCCGCCACACUGGGACUGAGACACGGCCCAGACUCCUACGGGAGGCAGCAGUGGGGAAUUUUGGACAAUGGGCGAAAGCCUGAUCCAGCCAUGCCGCGUGAGUGAAGAAGGCCUUCGGGUUGUAAAGCUCUUUCAGCCGGAAAGAAAUCGCGCAGGAUAAUACUCUGCGUGGAUGACGGUACCGGCAGAAGAAGCACCGGCUAACUACGUGC
rnacentral:rRNA from 1 species